AAGCAGAGACUGAUACAUAUUCAGGUCCGAUGGAUCUUUUGAUUUGUGCCAUUUUCUCUCCUCUGCCCUGAGUUUGGACCGAUGUUCAUGAAGAACAUCAGAUAGCCAGGUGUUAGAAGUGGUAGCACGUGCCGGCCUGGAGGAGAGAGGAGAUACAUCGUCUAGACAAGAGGUUAAAGAGGAGCAUAAAGUGUCAGUUGCUGCCUUCACAUCCAGAGAUGAGAAAUAGGUGAGGGAAGAAAGGAUGACACUACAGGGGAAAGAUGGGAGGGUGAAAGGGAGCAUAAGUUUCACCUAAAAGCAGUAGAGGAGUUGGUGGCACACAGGUAGCAGGAUGUAGGUUGAAUGUUAUAAAGAAGUUAUCAGAGAUGUGGAGGGGUUUGACCAAAAUGUUGUCUGCAAUACAACUGCAUGAGUAAAUUAAGUCAAGCUGGUUGCCUAAUUUGUGAGUGUUUGUGGUGGUAAGCCAUUUGAGAUCAAAUUAAUUUAGGAGUGAAUGGAAUUCUGCAGCGUAAGGCUUCUCCAGAUGGAUGUUGAAGUCGCCAAAGACUGCAAGUGGACUGCCAUGCACAGAGAAUGAGGACAGCAGGCCAUCCACCUCCUCUAUAAAGGUGCCCAGUUGACCAGGGGGGUGAUAGAUUACUACAACAUGGAGUUCUAUAAGAGUUAUUACCGUAAUAGCAUGAGAUGAUUCAAAUGAGUUAUUAUUGCACGGGGGAGAGUAUUUCCAGUUGUUAGAAAUAAGGAAACCAGUACCCCCA
ensembl:lncRNA